UACAGAGGGUGCAAGCGUUAAUCGGAAUUACUGGGCGUAAAGCGUGCGUAGACGGUUGUGUAAGUCAGAUGUGAAAAGCCCCCGGGCUCAACCUGGGAAUUGCAUUUGAGACUGCAUAGCUAGGGUGCGGAAGAGGGAAGCGGAAUUUCCGGUGUAGCGGUGAAAUGCGUAGAUAUCGGAAGGAACACCAGUGGCGAAAGCGGCUUCCUGGUCCAGCACCGACGUUCAGGCACGAAAGCGUGGGGGAGCAAACAGG
rnacentral:rRNA from 1 species